CAAGUCGAACGCUGAAGGCCAGCUUGCUGGGUUGGAUGAGUGGCGAACGGGUGAGUAACACGUGAGUAACCUGCCCCCUUCUUUGGGAUAACGGUCGGAAACGGCUGCUAAUACCGGGUAUUCACUGUCCUUCGCAUGGGGGGUGGUGGAAAGGUUUUUUCUGGUGGGGGAUGGGCUCGCGGCCUAUCAGCUUGUUGGUGGGGUGAUGGCUUACCAAGGCUUUGACGGGUAACCGGCCUGAGAGGGUGACCGGUCACAUUGGGACUGAGAUACGGCCCAGACUCCUACGGGAGGCAGCAGUGGGGAAUAUUGCACAAUGGGCGAAAGCCUGAUGCAGCGACGCCGCGUGAGGGAUGACGGCCUUCGGGUUGUAAACCUCUUUCGCUCAUGGUCAAGCCGCAACAGUGGUUGUGGUGAGGGUAGUGGGUAAAGAAGCACCGGCUAACUACGUGCCAGCAGCCGCGGUAAUACGUAGGGUGCGAGCGUUGUCCGGAAUUAUUGGGCGUAAAGGGCUUGUAGGCGGUUUGUCGCGUCUGCCGUGAAAUCCUCUGGCUUAACUGGGGGCGUGCGGUGGGUACGGGCAGGCUUGAGUGCGGUAGGGGAGACUGGAACUCCUGGUGUAGCGGUGGAAUGCGCAGAUAUCAGGAAGAACAC
rnacentral:rRNA from 1 species